GAUGAAGAACGUAGCGAAAUGCGAUACUUGGUGUGAAUUGCAGAAUCCCGUGAACCAUCGAGUCUUUGAACGCAAGUUGCGCCCGAAGCCAUCAGGUUGAGGGCACGUCUGCCUGGGCGUCACAUAUCGUUGCCCAAUGCCUAUUGCAGUGCAAUAGGAAUUUCUAGGGCGAAUGAUGGCUUCCCGUGAGCGUUGUUGCCUCGCGGUUGGUUGAAAAUCGAGUCCUUGGUAGGGUGUGCCAUGGUAGAUGGUGGUCGAGUUAGAACGAUACCGAUCAUGUGCAUGCUCCCCAAAAUAUGGCCUCUAUGACCCACACGCGUCUUUUGACGCUCAUGACGAGACCUCAGGUCAGGCGGGGCUACCCGCUGAAUUUAAGCAUAUCAAUAGGAGGA
rnacentral:misc_RNA from 1 species